AAUAAAUCUCGUCCUCCUCUCUUGUUCUUUCCCAAGACAAACUUCAUAACGAUUUUUCUCAUCUAGUCAGGUCGCGUUAAACGUAUCGAUAAGUCCUCAACGAAAAGAAAAUCGAAUAGCGGAUAAUAUUUUCUUAGCUGGACAUCCGAUGCUACGUACUGGAUGCUGAGACGCUGCCGAGCGGACCGUUAUGCAACCUGCACGCGGUCUUCACCUCGCGGCAGACUCCCGUUGUCCUGUCCUCAUGUCGUACCGUAUAGCCAGGUAGAUACGAACGAGUAUACUCUCAGCCUCGUAGCUGAUGCCAACAAGCCAGGUAAGUAAAUAAAAUGGUUACGUGUAUAAGGAAGACUAAGAAAAUCGAUAACGAUCUUCAUAUUGAUACUUCCGAGAGGUAAUAUUCAUUUUGUGUUUUUUAAACAAAAAAAAAAUUACCAGAAAGCUCUUUCAGUACGUUACGAAGUUCACCGAUGGCCAAGAGCACGUUAGAGAAUACCGGAUUGAAAACGGGUUCACCUUGCACCAGUAUAUCGCCUAAACGGUUUAAAAGCAAUGAAAGAACCAAGUCAAGAUCGUACGUGAUUGUUAGUGGCAUGGGUUUACAAUUGUGUACGAAACGAUCGCACGUUAAAUUUUAUUCGUACGAGGAGCAACGUCGAUUUCACAUGAACAAGAUUUUGAUACGAUAUUCAACGUUGCGAAUAGCUGUAUUUACAUACCCAUUGUGAACAACGUAUAAUAUAGGGAUGUGUCUUCUCUUUGACUAUACGGAGCUUUGGCGUGACUUGUUUUUGUUUACAUAUGCCUAUUGUCACUUUGCAUGUCAGAUUAUUAUCUGACAGAUAAUGCGUUUUAGGCAUAUGUUUAAGACAGAUGUUGUACGUUGAUGAUUACAGACAAAUAAUAGGUUAGGUUGUGCGAGUCUCUUCGAGCUGUCAUCAACUAAGGUCGAUAUAUAUCGAUUCGGUGAAGAAUCGAUCAACAGAUCGUGACCGAUCGACUUUCCUCUAUAAAACCAGUUUCAACUUCGUAAUAGAGAACCCACCCACGCUGUAUCUCCAUACCGGGCCUAAAAUCCCCACGCGCAGAUACAGAGAUACCCCAUAAUGCACUAGCCGACAGUUAUUACGAAAUUCACGGGUUGCCUAAGAUCUCCUUCGGUGUCCGGUAGUUUCUCUUUGUUCCAGUGGCUAGUUUCUGAAUAUUUCAAAUGACGCUGUCAUCGGUUGCCUUUGUCGCUCUCUGGCGGCCUAUCGCUUAACUAUCGAUGAAAACCUGCCCGUCCUAGAUUUGCGGGUGGCUUUACUAUCUCGGUGUCAGAAAGCACCACGCGCGAUAAGUCGCAGUUACAAAUGGCAAUCAAGCCUGUGCCGAGUCAAGAAAUUCCAAAGCAUCGGGUACGUGUAACGACCGUUGCUAAUAGUCCGGGGAUCCGUAAAACUCGAUUUCAACUGAGGUUUUACUAGCUGGUCGAAGUACGUACGACGUUCUUGGUUAGCGGCACGUCGCUUCGGUAUUUAAUUCGUGUUGAUAGCUACUGUUUCAGGUUCGGGACUGGUGGAUGAUUGGGAAAUGAGAAUAACCGUCGAGGCUAUCGCUAGGCGUAUAUUAUGUUGGUUUAUGCGAUCCGAUCGGGAGGUAAAGCCGGCCGAGUGCCGUGCACCAAGGUGAUCCGGUGCGAAAGCGAGAGGCAAGUUUGAGAGGGUGCACGAGAGACGACGGAUCGAGAGAAAAAGGAGAAGAGAGCGGAGAACGCCGGGGAGAGACUAAACAGGGAUCAUGGUGGUCGAUGACGCCGACGGCAACUCGUGGGGGCGCGGCUUUAACUGCUCUCGGUCGUUGUGUUCGCCACCAUAGUUACCACCACCACCAGUAUCAACAGCGUCACCAGGCACCACGGUACUAUUUACUAGCUAGUAUCACCAUGACCACCGUCAGCAAUGUGUUGCGGGUUUGACGACACUCUUUGCUCAGAAGCCUUACCUGUCAUCUGGUGGACAACAAAAUUAAUUAACAGUCAGCCCAGGCUGCCAUGUUGCGUGACAGACACCAAAUAGCUUUUUACUGAUAGCUUUUUACGAGGAGUUGUAAACACCUUUGUGUAUUGUUUGUAUGUGAGCGUCCUGAUAAUUCUUUCUGUUUUUAGUUAUCCUUUUUGAUGUUGCUGAAUGUGGCUAAACAUUAUCAGGAUUUCAUUUCAAGGCUGUGUCACGAAAGACUGUCCGGACCGGGAGAUGGAUCGGACUUCCGAGAAACUGUCUUGGUCGGCGGGUUUGUAUUUUUAGAACGAGAACGAGCGGAAACAGAAAAGAAGGAUGUAAAGUAAAAGGCGGUACACUAGGGAACGACGGGGAACAAAACAAUUUGGCGAUGGUGGAUGGUCUAGCCAUUUUCUUCUUGCUCGUCGUGUUUCAGCCGUGCGGCCUUUCAUCUCAACAGC